rnacentral:ribozyme from 14 species
GCAAGACCUGCUGCAACAAGAAGAGGAUAAACGCGCAGACGUUGUCAAUGUUAUACAAAAAGGACACUCCCGAAGAAUGUCUUUAUAGGAUGGUUAAUGUAUCAGUAUGUGUUUUGUGCGAGCAUUUUCUUCUUCUUUUUUUUCUACGUUUUA